UAUCUACCCUUUGGCCUGGAAUAACACGAGGAAACUUGUGCUAAUACCGGAUAAGUCUUUACGGAGAAAGCUUUAUGCACCAUUGGAUGAGCCUGCACUUGAUUAGUUUGUUGGUGGGGUAAUGGCCUACCAAGACUGUGAUCAAUAGCUGAUUUGAGAGGAUGAUCAGCCACAUUGGGACUGAGACACGGCCCAAACUCCUACGGGAGGCAGCAGUGGGGAAUCUUGCACAAUGGAGGAAACUCUGAUGCAGCGAUGCCGCGUGAGUGAAGAAGGCCCUUGGGUUGUAAAGCUCUUUCGUCGGGGAAGAAAAUGACUGUACCCGAAUAAGAAGGUCCGGCUAACUUCGUGCCAGCAGCCGCGGUAAUACGAAGGGACCUAGCGU
rnacentral:rRNA from 1 species